AGUAGGAUAACUGGGUCAAGUGGUCAUUACAUUCCAAGUUUUCUGAGAAAUCUCCAUAUUGCUUUCCAGAGUGGUUGCAACAAUUUGCAGUCCCACCAGCAAU
rnacentral:pre_miRNA from 1 species